rnacentral:tRNA from 2 species
GCCGGAGUGGCGGAAUCGGUAGACGCAGCGGACUCAAAAUCCGCCGCCCUUAAAAGCGUGCGGGUUCGAGUCCCGCCUCCGGCACCA